AAAAGGGGCUGCACAUAUAUUUGAUUAAGAACCACCAUAGAUGUAAUUCCUUGAUUUUAUUUAAAAAUGUCCCCCUACACACAUGGGGCAACUCAGCUGCUCUUCGUGCAGAAUUGACAUCAAGAGAUUUCGGAAGCAUAAUUUUUUGGUACCUGGGUAGCUGGUGAUGGUUGGUCCCAGCGCCCAU
ensembl:snRNA